UUAAACCGGUGUUUUGAUCGGGCUGCCUCGGGCGCCACCUCCCACCCGUGAAUACCUAACACUGUUGCUUCGGCGGGGAACCCCCUCGGGGGCGAGCCGCCGGGGACUACUGAACUUCAUGCCUGAGAGUGAUGCAGUCUGAGUCUGAAUAUAAAAUCAGUCAAAACUUUCAACAAUGGAUCUCUUGGUUCCGGCAUCGAUGAAGAACGCAGCGAACUGCGAUAAGUAAUGUGAAUUGCAGAAUUCAGUGAAUCAUCGAGUCUUUGAACGCACAUUGCGCCCCCUGGCAUUCCGGGGGGCAUGCCUGUCCGAGCGUCAUUGCUGCCCAUCAAGCCCGGCUUGUGUGUUGGGUCGUCGUCCCCCCCGGGGGACGGGCCCGAAAGGCAGCGGCGGCACCGUGUCCGGUCCUCGAGCGUAUGGGGCUUUGUCACCCGCUCGACUAGGGCCGGCCGGGCGCCAGCCGACGUCUCCAACCAUUUUUCUUCAGGUUGACCUCGGAUCAGGUAGGGAUACCCGCUGAACUUAAGCAUAUCAAAAAGCCCAGAAGGAAUUACGGAGUGCGGGCUGCCUCCGGGCGCCCAACCUCCCACCGUGAAUACCUAAAACUGUUGCUUCGGCGGGGAACCCCUCGGGGGCGAGCCGCCGGGGACUACGAACUUCAGCCUGAGAGUGAUGCAUCUGAGUCUGAAUAUAAAUCAGUCAAACUUUCAACAUGGAUCUCUGGUUCCGCUCGAUAAGAAGCAGCGAUGCGAUAGUAUGUGAAUUGCAGAAUCAUGAAUCACGAGUCUUGAACGCACAUGCGCCCGGGCAUCGGGGGGCAUGCGUGUCCAACGUCAUGCAGCCAUCAGCCGCUGUGUGGUGGGGUGUCGUCCCCCGGGGGACGGGCCGAAGCAACGGCGCACAUGUCCGUCUCAGCGUAUGGGGCUUUGUCACCCGCUCGACUAAGCCGCAGGGCAGCGACUCUCAACAUUCUUCCGGUGACCUCGAUCAGUGGUACCCGCUGACUUAAGCAUUAUUAACGGAGGAAAA
rnacentral:sRNA from 1 species